GUCAGCUUUGCCGGGAGCUGGUCGGCAAGCAUUUGUAGCAAGCCAGCUGGAGAGGGCUGGGGUGCCUGCCUGUCUCAGAAUGGCCUCCACGCAGGGCUCUCCCUGACUCCACUCUCCUUUCCAAGUCACCUCACACCACAGUGAAAGCAGCAGAGGACUCAGUGGCCCAAAUGCAGGGGAGUCCAUUCCUCUGAUUCCUCUACCAAUGACACCCACUUCCUGCAGGCAUCAGGGCUGAGCCAGGCAUGGGCCAUGCCCUGCCCACUCCAGUGAGAUGGGUCAUUCACGCUGGGAAACCCACGUUACAUGGGACAUCAAGCCGGCUAACCUGCAUUCCCCAAGAUUCAUAUGCUGAGUCUUAACCCCCAGCAGCACAGAACGUGACUGUAUUUGCGGUAGCGCCUUUAAGGAGCUAAUGGAGGUGAAAUGGGGUCACUGGGGUGGCUCCUAAUGUAGUGGGACUGAUGUCCUCUUAAGGAGAGGAAAUUUGGACAGUGACACACACAGAGGCACAACCUUGGGAGGUCACAGGGUGGAGAUGGCAUCCACAAGCCAAGGAGAGAAGCCUCAGGAGAAACCAGCCCUGCAGACACCGUGGACUUGGACUUCCAGCUGCCAGAAUGAUCGUCAUAACCACAAUUAAGUCUCGAAGCCUCGGGCCGGAGCCAGGUGCACUGGGUGCGUUUAAUGCCACCGGAUAUUUCAGAAAAGUGCUCUCAGGAACAUUGUCCCUUCCGUGCAUAAGCUGAAGAAAUCUAGAAUGCAAAUCUACCAUAAUGCAGAAUCAGGCCUCUGUCAAUAUUUAAAGCCGGAAAUCUUUGGAGGUACAUUAUCAAUUCCAAGAUAAAUAACCAAGACUGAUACGCUUGAAUGCUCAUUCAAUUCUAACGUGAGAAUACAAGUCUCUGUCUGCAAAUGAACACAGCAAGUGAAUCGGUGGAAAGAAGCUCACACUUCUGGCUGGUUCAGGACACGCAG
rnacentral:lncRNA from 10 species